AAAGAGCUCGUAGGCGGUUUGUCGCGUCUGCCGUGAAAGUCCGGGGCUUAACUCCGGAUCUGCGGUGGGUACGGGCAGACUUGAGUGACGUAGGGGAGACUGGAAUUCCUGGUGUAGCGGUGAAAUGCGCAGAUAUCAGGAGGAACACCGAUGGCGAAGGCAGGUCUCUGGGCAUUAACUGACGCUGAGGAGCGAAAGCAUGGGGAGCGAACAGGAUUAGAUACCCUGGUAGUCCAUGCCGUAAACGUUGGGCACUAGGUGUGGGGGACAUUCCACGUUUUUCCGCGCCGUAGCUAACGCAUUAAGUGCCCCGCCUGGGGAGUACGGCCGCAAGGCUAAAACUCAAAGGAAUUGACGGGGGCCCGCACAAGCGGCGGAGCAUGCGGAUUAAUUCGAUGCAACGCGAAGAACCUUACCAAGGCUUGACAUGAACCGGAACGGCGCAGAGAUGUGUCGGCCACUUGUGGCCGGUUUACAGGUGGUGCAUGGUUGUCGUCAGCUCGUGUCGUGAGAUGUUGGGUUAAGUCCCGCAACGAGCGCAACCCUCGUUCCAUGUUGCCAGCGGGUUAUGCCGGGGACUCAUGGGAGACUGCCGGGGUCAACUCGGAGGAAGGUGGGGACGACGUCAAAUCAUCAUGCCCCUUAUGUCUUGGGCUUCACGCAUGCUACAAUGGCCGGUACAAAGGGUUGCGAUGCUGUGAGGUGGAGCUAAUCCCAAAAAGCCGGUCUCAGUUCGGAUUGAGGUCUGCAACUCGACCUCAUGAAGUCGGAGUCGCUAGUAAUCGCAGAUCAGCAACGCUGCGGUGAUACGUUCCCGGGCCUUGCACUCACCGCCCGUC
rnacentral:rRNA from 1 species